AUAAUAAUAAUAAUAAAAAAGAAAGGUGCUAAAGGUUCCGUUAAUCUAUCAACGUCUCCCUCUUCACUAACUGUCUUUUUUUUUUUAAUUGCUUUUUUUUUUACCCUUUUUUUCCUCUUUUACCCUUGUUGACCGUUUUCACCCACCCGCAAAAAACAGUAGAGCAUAUUUACAUCUCUAUAUCAAACAGAAAUGAGUGCGCUCUCUCCCACCACCCUCACAAUCAAUCAACCACCACUCUUACACUUCCCGGAAGCCAAUCACCGUGGCUCCGGCUGCCGGAAUCUCUGUCGGUUUCCAGCUGAACAACCAUGGAUGAUUCUUGGGUUGAUGUUGGUAACUUUAAUUUGAGCUGCCUUAAGCUUGGAACCAAUACUUUCUCAGU
rnacentral:misc_RNA from 1 species